rnacentral:rRNA from 1 species
UACGUAGGAUCCAAGCGUUAUCCGGAAUUACUGGGCGUAAAGCGUACGUAGGUGGAAGCUUAAGUGAGAUGCGAAAUCUGGCGGCUCAACCGUCUAGACUGUGUCUCAUACUGGGUUUCUUGAGGUUGGCAGAGGCAAGUGGAAUUUCCGGUGUAGCAGUGAAAUGCGUAGAGAUCGGAAGGAACACCAAUGGCGAAGGCAGCUUGCUGGGCCACACCUGACACUGAGGUACGAAAGCGUGGGGAGCGAACAGG